rnacentral:rRNA from 1 species
CUGUAAUGCAAUGCCUACAAUGUUAAUGCACUGAAUCACAUUAGAACUCUGUAGUUAAGAGCACUUGGGAUAUACUAGUACUACGAUGUGUGACCUCCCGAGAAUUCCUAAUGUUUUACAUG